rnacentral:lncRNA from 1 species
CAGCCAUGGGGAGGAGCGCUAGCCCGGCCAGUUGGCCUGGGGAGCUCCAGCUCAUACUCCGGAGGAACCUCGUAUUGAAUCUUAAUCAGUGAGAGUUCCUCCAGAGUCAGAAAACUAGGGAUGGUGUCUAGUACAAAGACCAAACAAGGUUCUUCUAUGGGGCUAAGGUUUUGGGGAGCUGGGACAGACGAACUCCUAGAACUGCUAG